CAAAACCAGGAGACCUGUAAAUGUUUCUUUUCCAGUUGGAUGAUGAUAAGACUGUGACACGGGAUGCCACCUUUAGUCUUGUGAUGAGGCAAAGCUCAGGAAGAAGUGUGAUUAAAUGGUACCCACAUGUGUGCUGCUGAGAAGGAUGUACAGGGGCACCUGCAGCCAAAUCCAUAUAUAUAUACAUAUAUAUAUGUAUAUAUAUAUAUAUGUAUAUAUAUAUAUGUCAAAUUAAUUUGACACCUGAAUUGAAAAUACCAUAUUGUACUCAUACAGAAUCAGUAUGGUAUCAUUGUCUGUCUGUUCACUGAUUGCUGAAACUAAGAGCUACUUUGAUCUGUGUAGAUCUAAAGUCUCCAAACUCAAGCUCUGAUGUUUCUUCACCCCUGUGUGUGUGAUAUCUGAUUUCCUACAUGCUGGCGGAGCCGCAGUUUGUGCUCACAGUUGGUGACGGUGUGGAGAGACGGUGGUGUUUCCUCAGAGGAACUAGCAGAGUCACAAAGGGCACGAGUCCAUCUCACCACCUUGACUUGCUGACUGAUGCUCGUCUGCACUGCACAGAGGAAAUCAACUGACCGAGAUGGGCAGGAUAUCACUAUUAGACUGUCUAACCUGCCAGGGCAGCAUUGAAUGACCACCACACAUGAGCAUGUUCCUGCAACAUUCAGCAGCUUUGCUUUUGUGUCAACUGUCAAACAGCUGGAGAGGAAACUACACCAGUGUACUGGGAUGUUUCACCAACACGUGCCAGAUCCUGUUCCUUCAUGGUUUCAUCACCAGAGACAGCCUUUACCAGCCACACUCUAACUGCAAUUAAGAAAACAAACCGUAAAAAUUGUCGUUUUUCUCUUUUGUAAUUAAUGAUAAUUCAGUGAAGAUACUCUGCUGCUUCCUUUUGUUUCGUCACACAUUGCUUUAAGUUUUUCAGUGUCCAGUUAUUUUUUACUGCUGUUUGAAUUCUCUGUAUGUUUGACCCUGUAGACUGUUUAAUGGACUGCUUUUCUGGUUCCCGUUUGUAACCGCCGCCUGUUUUUGACUAAAGAUUUGGAUUUCUGACUUUAA